rfam:Oryza glaberrima chromosome 5 Oglab05_0116_6, whole genome shotgun sequence.
AAAAAAAACAAACCCUAGUUUCUGUAUCCAACAUUUGACCGCUCGUCUUAUUUGAAAAAAAUAUAAAAAAAUUAAAAAGAUAAGUCAUGCAUAAAGUAUUAAUCAUGUUUUAUCAUCUAACAACAAUGGAAAUACUAAUUAUAAAAAAAAUUCAUAUAAGACGAACAGCCAAACGUUGACACGGGAACCCACGGUUUGUCUUUUU